UGCAGUCUAGUUUUACAGGUUACAGAUCCUAUUUGAUGCUGAUUAUAAUACAGGACUCGGUCACCUCAGCGUCCCGCGGUUCUCCCUGCGGAAGAGUAAUCCUGUUAGGAGCGUCGAGCAGUCAGGCGUACGGGAAUGUGCCGUGACGAGGAGAGAUCAGGAGUGGAAGUCCUGACCGAGUUAGCACGCUGACCUUUGACCCCCCC